rnacentral:rRNA from 1 species
UACGGGGGGGGCAAGCGUUGUUCGGAAUUACUGGGCGUAAAGGGCCCGUAGGCGGCCAACUAAGUCGGAUGUGAAAUCCCCAAGCUUAACUUGGGAACUGCAUCCGAUACUGGAUGGCUUGAAUCCGGGAGAGGGAUGCAGAAUUCCAGGUGUAGCGGUGAAAUGCGUAGAUAUCCGGAGGAACACCGGUGGCGAAGGCGGCUUCCUGGACCGAUUACUGACGCUGAUGCGCGAAAGCUAGGGGAGCAAACGGG